rnacentral:rRNA from 1 species
ACAGGAAACAGCUUGCUGUUUCGCUGACGAGUGGCGGACGGGUGAGUAAUGUCUGGGAAACUGCCUGAUGGAGGGGGAUAACUACUGGAAACGGUAGCUAAUACCGCAUAACGUCGCAAGACCAAAGAGGGGGACCUUCGGGCCUCUUGCCAUCAGAUGUGCCCAGAUGGGAUUAGCUAGUAGGUGGGGUAACGGCUCACCUAGGCGACGAUCCCUAGCUGGUCUGAGAGGAUGACCAGCCACACUGGAACUGAGACACGGUCCAGACUCCUACGGGAGGCAGCAGUGGGGAAUAUUGCACAAUGGGCGCAAGCCUGAUGCAGCCAUGCCGCGUGUAUGAAGAAGGCCUUCGGGUUGUAAAGUACUUUCAGCGGGGAGGAAGGGAGUAAAGUUAGUACCUUUGCUCAUUGACGUUACCCGCAGAAGAAGCACCGGCUAACUCCGUGCCAGCAGCCGCGGUAAUACGGAGGGUGCAAGCGUUAAUCGGAAUUACUGGGCGUAAAGCGCACGCAGGCGGUUUGUUAAGUCAGAUGUGAAAUCCCCGGGCUCAACCUGGGAACUGCAUCUGAUACU